GCAAUCAUAGGAAUUUUGGACAUAAUGUUGAAGACUGCUCGGCAAGUGUUUCAAGAGUAUUACCAAUAUUUUUGGUGAGGUCGUGUGUGAGAGAGAUCCGAGAAAACUUACUGACGAAGGAACGAAGUGAAAUGUUUGGUUUGUGUAUUUUUGAAAGACCUUAUAUACAAGGUGAACGAGAAGAUUUCCCUCUGGAAUAAGAGAUUUCUCUUAUCAGAUGGAAUGUUGGAGUGUUGAUGAGUGCUUUGGUCUUCUUUUCGAAGUAUAUUGGUGGUUGAUAUCACGGACAGUCGAGUAUUCUCGUUAUAUUGUUGAAUGGUGAGCACGGUGUACUGGUACUUCAUUUCGAAAUUCACAGAGUUCUUCGAUACGAUAUUCUUCAUUAUGCGAAAAAAAUAUAACCAGAUAAGCACUCUUCAUUUGAUUCACCAUGGUAUUAUGCCAAUUGGUAGCUGGCUAGCUAUAAGUCUUUCUCCAGGUACGUACCUUGUGAACUACCAAAU